rnacentral:rRNA from 1 species
AAAGCGUGCGCAGGCGGUUAUGUAAGACAGAUGUGAAAUCCCCGGGCUCAACCUGGGAACUGCAUUAGUGACUGCAUAGCUGGAGUACGGCAGAGGGGGAUGGAAUUCCGCGUGUAGCAGUGAAAUGCGUAGAUAUGCGGAGGAACACCGAUGGCGAAGGCAAUCCCCUGGGCCUGUACUGACGCUCAUGCACGAAAGCGUGGGGAGCAAACAGGAUUAGAUAACCUGGU